rnacentral:rRNA from 1 species
UGUCUUACAUCCCAGGUAAAGAGCUUUAAAACCUAAAGACUUUAUCAAUCACGCGGCAUUGCUGGAUCAGGGUUUCCCCCAUUGGCCAAAAAUCCCUAAUGGUGCCUCCCCUAAGAGGCAGGCGGGGGGAAUAUUUGACAAUGGGGGAAACGCUGAUCGAGCAA